GGAUUGACCCCUUCAGUUCCAAGUGUGGCAAUAGCCUAAGAGGAGAACCUGGAUGUCUUUCUCUCCAGUAACACCAUUUAAUGCAGCUGGAAAGAGCUCAUUUUCUGUUUGGACUUGGAACAGGUCCAGAUGCUGUGGAAUUCUGAUGCAUCUGGGAUUCCCCACUGAGGUCUUAUUCCUAUCUACUCCCCACUAAAGCAUCUGGAAGAUUAAGCAGGAAGAAGCCAGAUCUGUGUCAGGGUGGCGGCAAUAAGGAGGUAUUUUAAUGUUAGCUCCAGCAGCAACAGCUUGCCAGUGGGAUCCUCCAGGGAGAAGCUGAAGUCUAUCGAAAGUCUGGAUAAAGGCCUAAAAGAGAGGCAGGCCAAGAAGUAUGACCAGUUUCUGUAAUAAAGUAACUCAGCACAUGUGGAAGGUCGGAGCUUAUGGCUGAUUCAUAACUAAUAAAAUUCAAAAAUCUGUAUGAAAGAGAUUUCUGAUAUAGUUUUUCUAUAAAAUAUGUAGCAUAUAUAAAAUUCAUGAUGGAGUAUUGACCCUUGUGAAUAAUGCUGCCAUUCCAAACCCAGGCUAAUAAAAUGUUUAUACCACACCAUCAUGUAUUUCAAGUGUGCUACACACACACACACACACCCAUACAUAUAUUGGUUAAUAGUCCUGAACUGUUAUAAUUGAUAACCUCCCAAGUACUUUUUUUUUUUUAUGUUUGCUUUGUGGCACAUGAUUUUCUGGAGUGAUUCCAGGUCACAUGGUAAAACCACUAUUUCUCUUGCUAGGCAUUUUGCUUUUUCUUCCUUGCUGACUUCUAAUCUUUGCCUGCUUCACCUGUGGUCAGAUUAGAUGCAAGAGACUGAGACUAAGAUUUUAAUUUACAGUAACAGCAUGACUGGCAGAUGGGUCUGGUGGAGGGCUAACAGGUGUGUGGAUGCCUCUUGUUUUUGAAAACUAACCAUUACAUUUUGUCAGUGGAACACUGUCACAUCCCAGGGAUGUUAUU